rnacentral:misc_RNA from 1 species
GAUGAAGAACGUAGCGAAAUGCGAUAAGUAGUGUGAAUUGCAGAAUUCAGUGAAUCAUCGAAUCUUUGAACGCACAUUGCGCCCCCUGGUAUUCCGGGGGGCAUGCCUGUCCGAGCGUCAUUGCAACCUUCAAGCGCGGCUUGUGUGUUGGGUCUCGUCCCCCGUGGACGGGCCCGAAAGGCAGUGGCGGCGUCCCGACAUGGUGCCCGAGCGUAUGGGAAUCCUCUUCCGCUCGAAUCGGCCCAUGCGGCGCUGGUCGUAACCAAAUUUUUUACCGGUUGACCUCGGAUCAGGUAGGGAUAUCCGCUGAACUUAAGCAUAUCAAUAAGCGGAGGA